rnacentral:rRNA from 1 species
AUCAUUAACGAGUUAGGGUCCCUCGCGGCCCGACCUCCCAACCCUUUGUCUACCUGACCACUGUUGCUUCGGCGAGCCCGUCUAUGGACCGCCGGGGGGUACCUUGAUCGGCCCUCUGGUCCGCGCUCGUCGAUAGCCAAACUUUUAAAAUCUUAACCAAACGUGUCUCAAUCUAAGUAUUAUUUGUUAAAUAAAAGCAAAACUUUCAACAACGGAUCUCUUGGUUCUGGCAUCGAUGAAGAACGCAGCGAAAUGCGAUAAGUAAUGCGAAUUGCAGAAUUUCAGUGAGUCAUCGAAUCUUUGAACGCACAUUGCGCCCUUUGGUAUUCCGAAGGGCAUGCCUGUUCGAGCGUCAUUAUCACCCCUCAAGCCCCCGGCUUGGUGUUGGACGGUUUGGUGGAGGCCCCCUCGCGGGGCCACCGCCCCUCCCAAAGACAAUGACGGCGGCCUCGUUGGACCCCCGGUACACUGAGUUCUUCACGGGACACGUAUCGGACACAUGGGUUUACGGGACACGGUCUGCCUCCCCUCAGGGAGAAUCUUUCUAAGGUUGACCUCGG